CCCUUAGAUGUUCUGGGCCGCACGCGCGUUACACUGAUGCAUUCAACGAGCUUAUAACCUUGGCCGAGAGGCCCGGGCAAUCUUGUUAACGUGCAUCGUGAUAGGGAUAGAUUAUUGAAAUUAUUAAUCUUGAACGAGGAAUUCCUAGUAAACGCAGAUCAUCAAUCUGCAUUGAUUACGUCCCUGCCCUUUGUACACACCGCCCGUCGCACCUACCGAUUGGAUGGUCCGGUGAAGCCUCGGGAUUGUGGUUCUUGCCGCUUUAUUGUGGCGUGACCGCGAGAACUUGUCUAAACCUUAUCAUCUAGAGGAAGGUGAAGUCGUAACA
rnacentral:rRNA from 1 species